GAUGAACGGGUAGUGGGUUGGUUGUGGCAGUGGCUUGCUGUGAAGGGGUAGAUCACAAUUCCAGUAGCUGUUCUUCAUUUGGGAACCAUUAGCUCUGUGAGAGCUCGGAUCUGUGAAUCAGCAACAUUGGGCAGCAUCAGUGUGCUAGUUCCGGCGAGUCCAUCUUCCGGCAGUGAGUCAACAUUGAGGAGUUAGGUUUUGCUGGAGUUGUGGGAAUAG